CUCUUUACACAACUUGAUGUAAAGUAAGUGAACAAAAUUAGUUAUUUUCAUAUUGGUACACAUACUUCUGGAGCGCAGGUUUCAGUCUUUCCUGGUUGUUAUUUUCAUGUACUGUUUAUUAUUGUAAUAUUAUCUGUAUUAUCAAUCACUGCAUGUAUUUUUAGAAAUUCAGAUUCUAGAUAAAAUAAUUUACUUUGUUCAACAAAAGGAGGGGAAACCACCUACUUAAAAUUAAACCUGACAACACUUCGUAGCAAAGGCCAUGUCAAGUCCUGAGGAGGAGGGGGAACCCCCUGCCAGAAUGAUAAAGCUAUGCUCACAUGAUUCACUGUCAAGAUCGAACCUAGUGGUUGCAAACAAAACUGAAUAUGAUGUCACAAUAGAGUGGAUUGAUUUGGCAGGUGACCGAGUUUGCUAUAUAAAACAAUUACGUCCAGGAAAAGCAGUUGCAAUUGUUACUUACGUCGGCCAUUAUUGGGUGUUUUGUGAAACAAACUCUCGUCACCCUCUAGUGGUGAUUCCAGGAAGGCAUUCUGUUUAUUUCCCGAUACCAAGUCACGAACGUGAAUA